AGAUUUUUUUUUUUUUUUAAUUUAUUGAGAGCUGGAUUCGAGUCCUUCGCUCUAAACUGUACAAAUUUUUACUAUUUUAUUAUGUAUAUAAUUAUAAACAAAAACUUCUACACUUCAGAUUUUUUUUUUUUUCCUUAUUAUAUCUUCUCUAUUGUCGAACAUAUAAACUUGAAUAAUGGUUUGAAAAAUCUUGGGUUGGCUAAUAUUUCUUCUGGGCGGCGGGGAGUAUUUAUUUUAUUUUCUGAGCAAAUUUUAUCUAUAUCCGAAGCCAGGAUUAAUCUAUGCAACUUCAAUGACUCGCAUUUAAAAAUAAUGUGGUUUAUAUCGGCGUAUGGCUCACUGCAUUUACUACAUUUAGGAUCUUGAAUAAUUUUUAAUUUGAAAAGAUGAGAGGGAAUUAGACAAUGUCCAAAUCUCAUUCUAUUAAUUAUGGAGAUAAAUUUUCUUGAUUCACAGCUGAUGAUGUUAUACCAGGGCUUAGUAUUGAAGUCUUUUUGAAUUUUAGCGUACCAUUGUCCUUUAUUCUGUUUUGUUAUGGUCCAAUAAUCUCUCCAAAGUAUAUUAAUUCCGUCUUUGAUGAUUGGAAAGUAAUCUGAGAAAGGUGUUUUAACAACAUCUCUAUGGUCCUCAUCAUAUCCACAUUUUGCAGCUUGAUCAGCUUUUUCAUUACCAGAUAUUCCUCUGUGGGAGGGUACCCAGGCUAGCUCAACGUAAACAUUUCUCGCAUUUAAAUUGUACAGUAAAUUUCUAAUCUUAAAUACUAAAUAAUUUGUUUUAAAGGUUAAUUUACAACUGUCUAUAGCUAAUAAAGCGCUUUUGCUAUCGCUAAUAAUAAUAACAUUUCUAACAUUAUUACUGGAAUUUACAUAUAAUAAUGCCAUAUAAAUUGCGUAACAUUCUGCAGUAAAAAUUGAACAAUUGUUGUUUAGUAAAAUACAUUUUGUACAUCCUAAAUUACUGUCGAAAUAAGCUGCUUUAACUUCUUGGGUGCUUUUGGAUCCAUCCGUAUAAAUUUUAUAAAAAUCUUUUUUAUGAUCUAAUAUUCUAAGCAGUUCUGUUUUACUAUUGAUAUCGAGAAUAAUUGUAAAUUUUUUUUCCCAAAUGCUUUCAAAUUUAUAUCCAUAAACAGGCCAUAGAGAGCUAGAAUAGACAGAUUUUGAGAUAUUUAUCGUUAAAUGUAAAAUAGCUGACAUUUGCGGAAGCAUUGCAGAAUUUAUUGAUUGAGCGUUAAUAAUAUUUGUAGAAGACACUAUACAACUCGAUAAUUCUUCUACUAACGUUAACUUCCUAACAGGUAUUUUUAAUUCACUCAAAACUCUGAUCAAUUGAAACAGGUUCACAUUAUCAUAUGCACCCUCAACAUCCAGAAAUACACAUAUUGCAUUAGAGUGAGCAAAGAUAGAAUUUUUGAUGUCAGCAAUGAAUGAAACGAAGCCUUCAACUGCACUUUUACCUUUUCUGAAACCUAGUUGAUAAUCAGGUGGACAAUAUACACAUAGAAUAGUUAGAGGACCGACUUUUGUAUCAACAGAAAUAGCAAUCGUUUGAACAUCUUGGAAAUUUGGGAGUUGAAAGUUGGACAUAUUUUAUAGAACUUUUAAUUAAAAAGGCUACACCACCAUGUUCAUUUUCAGCAUUUUUAAAAAUAAAAUCAUACCCAGGCAUGUGAAAGUGUGACUGGGAACUUUUUAACCAUGUUUCAUUUAAUAAACAUAUAUCUAUUUCAUUAUCGAAUAAAAGUGUUUGUAACAAAGGUUUUUUAUUAUUAAUACUUUGUAUAUUAUGUUGUACUAGUUUUAAACUAUCCAUUAUUCAGAUAAGUUUUUAAUAAAAAUUUCCUUAAUAUGAGAUGUGGUCUUAAUUGAUUCAGAAUUUCCUAAUGCUACUAAUGUUUUUACUAUCGAAUUCAUGACUUUUGUAUUAUUUACAAUAUCUGAGAUAUUAAAGUUAUCUGUUUUUGUUGGUACAUGAGCUAAUUCUAUAUUUUUAUUACUGUCAACUUUUCCUGUGUAUUUCUGUAUGCUACUCUUAGGAAGAGCUGGAAAGUUUACAAAAUCUUUAUUUAUAGUAGCCAUUGCAUAAGAUUGCCUAUGUUUUAAUAUUCUAGCUGCUUUUAUUGGACAAUCUUUUGAAAUAGCUAGAUGAUUUCCAGAGCAAUUAGUACACUUUAACGUUUCAGAAAUACAAUCUUUAUAUGAAUGAUUUUCAGAGCAUUUAGAACAAACCUGUUCACUACGACAUAUUUUAGCUGAGUG
rnacentral:misc_RNA from 1 species